GAGCCCUUGCCAGCUUGAGUGUCCUUGC
rnacentral:piRNA from 1 species